rnacentral:rRNA from 1 species
CAUGAGUGGCGGACGGGUGAGUAACGCGUGGGCAACCUGGCCUGUACAGGGGGAUAACACUUAGAAAUAGGUGCUAAUACCGCAUAACGGGGGAAGCCGCAUGGCUUUUCCCUGAAAACUCCGGUGGUACAGGAUGGGCCCGCGUCUGAUUAGCCAGUUGGCAGGGUAACGGCCCACCGAGGCGACGAUGCGUAGGGGUUCUGAGAGGAAGGUCCCCCACACUGGUACUGAGACACGGACCAGACUCCUACGGGAGGCAGCAG